rnacentral:rRNA from 1 species
AUUGAACGCUGGCGGCAUGCCUUACACAUGCAAGUCGAACGGCAGCGGACCUUCGGGUGCCGGCGAGUGGCGAACGGGUGAGUAAUGCAUCGGAACGUACCCUUCAGUGGGGGAUAACGUAGCGAAAGUUACGCUAAUACCGCAUAUUCUGUGAGCAGGAAAGCAGGGGAUCGCAAGACCUUGCGCUGAUUUAGCGGCCGAUGUCAGAUUAGCUAGUUGGUGAGGUAAAGGCUCACCAAGGCGACGAUCGGUAGCUGGUCUGAGAGGAUGAUCAGCCACACUGGAACUGAGACACGGUCCAGACUCCUACGGGAGGCAGCAGUGGGGAAUAUUGGACAAUGGGGGCAACCCUGAUCCAGCAAUGCCGCGUGUGUGAAGAAGGCCUGAGGGUUGUAAAGCACUUUCAGUGGGGAGGAGGGCAAUUAGGUUAAGAGCUAGAUUGUUGGACGUUACCCACAGAAGAAGCACCGGCUAACUCCGUGCCAGCCGCCGCGGUAACAC